rnacentral:tRNA from 1 species
GCCCUCGUAGCUCAGUGGAUAGAGCGCCGGUUUCCGGUACCGUAGGUCGGAGGUUCGAUUCCUCUCGAGGGCACCA